AGUGAACGCUGGCGGUAGGCCUAACACAUGCAAGUCGAACGGCAGCACAGUAAGAGCUUGCUCUUACGGGUGGCGAGUGGCGGACGGGUGAGGAAUACAUCGGAAUCUACUUUUUCGUGGGGGAUAACGUAGGGAAACUUACGCUAAUACCGCAUACGACCUACGGGUGAAAGCAGGGGAUCUUCGGACCUUGCGCGAUUGUAUGAGCCGAUGUCGGAUUAGCUAGUUGGCGGGGUAAAGGCCCACCAAGGCGACGAUCCGUAGCUGGUCUGAGAGGAUGAUCAGCCACACUGGAACUGAGACACGGUCCAGACUCCUACGGGAGGCAGCAGUGGGGAAUAUUGGACAAUGGGCGCAAGCCUGAUCCAGCAAUACCGCGUGGGUGAAGAAGGCCUUCGGGUUGUAAAGCCCUUUUGUUGGGAAAGAAAAGCAGCAGGUUAAUACCCCGCUGUUCUGACGGUACCCAAAGAAUAAGCACCGGCUAACUUCGUG
rnacentral:rRNA from 1 species